rnacentral:lncRNA from 1 species
CUAAUCCGCACAUUUCUCUUCCUGUGUGAUGUUACCAUCACUUUAUCAUAAAUGGGCUAUGAAGACAUUUGGAGCUGCUACUGUUGUAAUCUAUCCAAGAUGAAUAGGGCGAAGGCUGAAAUAAACUCCCCGUUUCCUGUCCCAUCUGUCUGCCAGACUGCGGGUCAGGGGCAUCCUCCCUCCAGGCUGGUAAUUGCAAAAAACGAAGCAACUGAACCCGAACUAGAAGAUCAAAGAGCUCAGGAGAUGAGGAGGAGGGGGAGGAACUUUUCUGAGAACAAACUGGCUACGGGGGCGAAGGCGAUUAGGGGAAACAACAACAACACACAAAAACCCCCAGCCUUCCUUCAUUGACACAGAGAAGGAGGGAGGGGGGGAGAGAGAGGAGAGAGAGAGAGAACGCUCACACACAUUUGGCAGAUGAAGUUUGCUCCUGGAUGGAGCAGGAUAACUAUGUGGGGAGGCUGGGGGACUUUGUAAGGUGGGAGGGUUUCAGGAGCUCUCCUUGUCCCCAUCCUCAUCGUGGCCUUCCUCUGACCUGCAGACUGUCUUUGCUACCUCAUUAGCUACACAAAAACAAAUCCUUCCGAUUCGGUACAGAGACACCAUCUCUCUCUCCCUCUCCUUUCCAGGACCGAUUUCAGAAACAGUCUAGGGCACACCAGGGUUGAGAGGAGCCACCCAGAGUGAUGCAGACUGUCCCAGCUCUCUAAACUGCCACCCAGACACACCGGUCCUGUCCCUAAAGAUGAAUGAAACUCUGCAACCAACUGAUGUUUUCCCCACAAUCGGCAAUAAAUCGCAGCCAGGGCGCGAACAGUGUUCACAUUCGCUCCUAUUAAUGCUUCCUGUCUCUGGACGCUGGGCCGGGUCCAGAUUCGCUGCACUACAAGGCUUCCUGCUGGAGGAGUGAGGCCUCUAGGCUGCGUUCCAGUUACAACUGGCAGCUAAUGCCUUCACACAUUCGCAAAUCCCAGGCCCGCCGGGGCAGGAGGCGGCGAGGUUUGCCUGGGGUCAGCAACUGCGGCACUGGCGGAAGCCCCUGGGAGGUGGUUCUGGCCCCCAGGCGGGGUGAGUGGAGCGGGGUCCGCACGGCCUCGCAGGCGCAGGUUGUUUCUCUCCCCUGGAUGCCUGUGGGGGUGGGGACGGCAGAGCCUCGGACACUGCCCGGGGAUCACUCUCAGGCUACUUUUCCCACCCUGCCAAGCUGCUCGAGACGUCAAAGGAGACCAGGCCGGUCAGCACACAGGCUUCUGGUAAGUGCCGCCCUCCGGUCUGGGAGCUCAGCUCUCCCCUUCUGACUCACCGCUCGGCGCUGACUCAUCGUGACGGCGAGUGGGGCUCCAGCUCCGCGGCAUUUCAUAGACAGCGCGGUCACAUUCCUUUCCAACAGUCGCUCUGGCCUCGAUGUCUAAGGCUCCGUGGGCAGCCGGCCUGUGGAUGAGGCGGCGGAAACCACAUCCUCUUCAUCAUCCUCUCACGAGGAAGGACACUGACAGCUUCGGAGAAGGCUGCCCAGUGUCUGCGGGUGCCCUUGGGAGAUGGCCUUGGGACACGGUGCCUGUGCCUGUGUGUGUACACCACGUGUGAACGCCAACUGGGAACACGGCCCCUUCGUAGGCAAACCCAGGCCUCCUGGAAGUCACAAGUUGAUAGCUGUACUCGCCCCUUUUGGAAGACGCACGCCCAAGGCACCCGUGUGUGCACACGUAUCCGUGUGUGGACCUCUGUCCACACGUGUGUGUUUUGAAAAGCCUUUCUCACCACAUGUUAGGAUCACAAGUGUUCAAAAUCUAGGCACACUUUUCAGAAGUUAUUUCUGGAAAAAAUGUUGAAUCUCAUAACAGCAAUAAAAGGAAAAUACCGCCUCAGCCAACAUAAAUGUCUCCUUGGAACAUGCCUGAAAAGCGGCGGAGUAUUUGUGUAAGUUUCAAUUCCAGCGUCAGAGCCUGCAGCUUGGCCGAGGCCGGGUUCUGCACAGGAGGGUGCACGGUCCCUUUCCGAAAGCCCCUCACCGGACUUCUGGGAACUCCCAACCCAUCCCGGGAACCCCACCUGCCGGCCCCGGAUCCGGAUGGGCUCCUGAUGUAUCCCACAGAGGGGAUGCCAACGUCAGACACCAGCAGGCUGGGGAGGAGCGGCUGUGAGGUGCAGCCGGCGGGUGGGCGGCCAGCCUCCAGGACAGACCUCGGAGGAGGCUGGGGGCUGCCUGCUGCCCUCGGGGCCCUGUGGUCCCACCACACCCGUGCCUGUCCCAGUGAUCCUCAUGUCACCGGCCCAGUGAGAGGCUGCUGCUACCAACCCCGCCAGCCUGCAGGCCGCUGAGUGCUGGGCUGCUCCUCCUCAGAGGAUGAGCGUGGGAAUAACCCAGUGGGGCGAGGAUGCUGACGGCGCCAUGGAUGUCCACUGAGGGCCCGAGAUGGGCCAGGCCGAGCUCUGUGCUUUGGAGUCAGAUCUCAUUUAAACCCAGCAGCACAUCCCAUUUCACACGUGGGAAGGUGGGGGAGUCAGGAUCAGAGAGCAGGGUGUCGCAUGGGGGAGCAGCCGGGCUGCGAUGUGAACCCUACAGUCUGCCCAUGAGCCGCACUCCUGGGCUGGACACUCCAGAGCCUUCUCAAGCAGCUUUCUUGGGGCUCCCUGAGCACCUGGCUGGAUGCUGCUGGUCUGGAACUCUGGACGGGGGCCCCGGGAGCUGACCUGCAAAGCUGUAGAGCGACUGUGAGGCACUGGCAGCUUUGCAGCCCCUCUGGACCCAGGGUGGGGUGGGCUGAGCAUCUGGCCUUCUGGGUCUAUCUGGGAGGCAGGGCUGUCUCAGAUCUGGGGCCUUCUGAGAAAGAUGUCGAACCCAAGCUUCCUUGGGGAAGGAGGCAGAUGGACCCCAGAUCACUCUCCUGGGUGUGAAAUCAGCUUUGGGGGUGCCUUCGGGGUCGGGCAGAACUGGGCUCACCCAGCUCUCGCCUUUUCUGGCUGUGUCACUUGGGUGAGCUCCUGAGCCUCUCUGUGCCUCGGUUUCCCUGUUGAUUAGGUCAGGCCAAGGAUUAAAUGAUGGCAAAGUCGUACCACGCUGGCUGGUUUUGGGCCUGUGGGGAUUCUUCAUCAUUUCUUCUCUUUCUCCUACUGCAGCUCCAGGCUACCCUGAGAUUUGCCUGCUGGGUCUGGGCUUCAUGGCGGGGCCAGAUUGGUGCCUCGGAGCAGAGGGCACAGGACAGAGCGGGCACCAAUGCACGGGCAGGUUUCCAGGCACUUUGGGAAGAAAUAAGAUCCCACCCAAGAACCUCUCCCCAACUCUGGCCUUGGCUCGUCCUGGUUGUUUCCAAAAGUGAAAGAAGGCAAAAGAGUGAGCCGAGGCCCACCGGGAACAACAACAAAGACCCGGCCUCGGAGUGGCGGCAGCGCCGCGGCCACUGCAGGAGAGCUCUGGUUUCUAUUAGUGGGAAGCGACGGCUCCGUCUCAGGACAGAGCUUGGGCCAUCAGCCCUCGGCGGGUUAACCCUUCCCCACCUCACUGCUCUCACAGGCAACAGGCACCCCUGAAGCUGGGAAGUCCUGGGGCCGGGUUCAGCUGAGGACUCCCUGCAUCCUGCCACCACCACCAACCAUGCUGGCGCUCACACACACACACACAUACGCACGCACACACGCACACACAUGCCUACACACACCCACACGUCUCACAGACACACACGCACACUCACAUGCAUGCACACGUGCCCACACAUGCCCACAUGUCUCACACACACGCAUGCCCACACAUGCACACACACUUAUAUGUGCACACAUAUGCACAAUCCACACCAGCACACACAUGCACAUACACAUACACACACACAGACAUGCAUGCACAUACACACCCAUACAUGCAAACACAUAUUCCUACACAGGGACACUCCACGCCAGGGCCAUGUCAUCUGAGGCCAAAUGAAGAGUUGGCAGAGGAGGAAGGCCUGGAGAGGUAGCGUGGAGGCCAGAGGAGGCCCUGGUUGAGACGUGCUUGCUGGUUUGGCAGGUGGAGGGACUUGGGGACCAAGUAACCCGGCUCGGUCAAACAUUCUCUCCCCAGGCACGGAUGCUGUGUCCCUGGGGAGCCCAACCUCCCCAAGUGGAGCUUGGCUGAGACCCCUCAGCAGCUCCGAGGGCCCCUGUGGGUUGUGAUGCCAGAAACAGGGCCAGAGCUCAGAGGAGGCACAGGGACUACGGUUUCCGUUGAAAGACGGCUCAGGGUCACCGGGCUCAGCAGAGGGAGGGCGCUUCAGGGGCGGUGACCGGGUCGCUUUAGGAAGAUGGGUGGGGGGCACUCGACUCCCAAGGCUGAGGGAGGGGAAAGGUGUGUGCACACUGCAGGCAUCCGGCCUUUGGGCCCCAGAGUGUGCCGGGCAGGUGUCAUCUCCAUUAACAGCUGCAGCCGCUGUGGAGGUGGCUGCCACCAUGAUACCCAUCGUACAGGUGAGGAGGUGGAGGUAGGAAGGGCGUGGCCUGUCUCAACCUGACAGGGAUGUGUGUAUGUGGCCACAUGUUGACUUUUUGUUUUAAAAUUUGGAUUCUACUGGGGAAAAAGAUUACAAUAAAGUGUCUGUGCUGCACCCAGGAAGGCAUGCCCACUGGGUAAGGCUCGGCACCAAGCGGCCUCUCACUGUGGGUCAGGCUCGCAUGGGGCGGGUGUGCCUGGCCCCUGUGUGAACCUGGAGCUGGCCAUGGGGAGAGGCUGCUCUGGGGCUUUUCAGAGAAUCCGUGGUUGAUUCCCUCAAGGACUCCCUCAAGGGGGCCACGCUCCUCCUCCCUGGGUCCCCUCCCUGGCCCCCACCCUUCCCUUUCUCAGGUCCUCCCUCUGACAGUGGCUGUAGCCCUCUGCUCCUAGCCCAGGGCAGCCCUGGCCUCUGGAGUCACAGUCAUGUGUUCAAGUCUCGGCCCCUUUCCCAAGGUGAGCUGGUCCUGCAGGGAUGCGGGAAGUGUCAGAAUAUGAAAACAACCAGGACAAGGACAGCUCAGCUUACCCCGCUCCAGCACCUUCUCCAGGUCAAGCACUUGGCCAGCCCUGUAGCAGCCUCCUCAUUCCAUCUCUCUGGUGUUUUACAGAUGAGAAAUGAGCACAGAGAGGUUAGGAGCAUUGUCCAGUGCCACAGAGCUGGCAUGUGCUUGUCUGGGCUGAGAACUCUAUGAAGCCUUGGAAAUGCUCCCCACAUAUGGAGCAGUGUGUUCAGGCCCCAUGGCCUGACCGGGAGCAGGAGGGAAGGACAGGCUCAGGUCUCGCAUCCCGGGAAGAAUUUCUCCUCAGUGCACCAGGGAAUAUCGCCUGACGACGGAAUCAGGUUUCUUUCCCCAUGACCCCUCCACCAUUAGUGUUCCCAGAAAGCCAGGGGCUGCUGUGCCCAGAGGAGGUGCACCCUGGGAGCCCUGCCUGCAGGACGGGAAGCAGAGCCCCCUCAGAACAGAAACUAGGAACAGAGGAGGGACAAGGGAGGGAGGGCAGAAGGUCCGGUGCCCUCAGUUUCUAUCCAUCCUUGGGUCGGAAACCUGGGAUGGAAUGAGUGAGGAGCUGGGUCCACAGGGACAGGAACUGGGGGAUACCAGGGGCUAGGGCUGCUCAUCCUUUCCCAAGGAGGAGCCAGGGAAAAAUUAAGCUCAUAGGGAAUGUCGGGUUCACCGGGCCUGGCGGACUCCAGAUCCCAGAGGCAGGGCACCCACACAUCUCUCACCGGCACGCACCAGGGCCCCGAUAGCCGGGCACCAUCAUGGCGAAUUACAUUACAUUGCAUUACCCGGGGACCACUAUCAUGACCACGUUGGGAGAGGAAACUGAGGCACUAAGCUGCCAAAGUCACGCAGCCCACAACACUGGAAGGCAAAGCAGCCGUCUGGACCCCAGAACUGGAGCUGUCCCCUCACUGGGCGAAACCCAGAACCCAGUGUUUGCUUCUUUCUCAGAGUAGCAAGAAGACAUGGCAGAGCUGCCCUCAGGCUGGAGGCUUGCAAGCCGGAGGCGCACCACUGUCUAAGCAAACCAGGCACGAGGAAACGCAUUCGCAAGCCUGAGAAGAUGAGUGGCCAUCACUGGCAUCACCGAAAUGGCCUCCUCAACCGGACGGGAAGAAUCCCUCCCCCAGCUGACUCCCCGAGAUGCUCCAUGCCCCACGUUCCUGACCUCCUAGGGGAAGGAGCAGGAGGAACCCAAGGCCAUCAGAGGGGCCUGGACUGUGGGUGCUGCCAAGUCUGUAGGUGACCCGGUGACCAUCCCGGUUUGCAGGGGACCAAGAUUCUUUCUGGGAUGUGGUGCUUUCAGUGGCAACAAGAAGAGCCCCCUCGGCAGCCCUGGCAAUCCAGGACAGUGGGUCGCCCCCGCACGGCCUGACGCUGUGGCGUGGAGUCUCCAGCGGGGCAGCACUGGGUUGGAGGAGGGAGGAUGCUGCCAGCAUCACGGGGAGGUCACAUGCCAGACACUGGUGUCUGAUUUCCCCUUGAGAGAGGUUUCAUCACUGCCCCGUCCUUGGAAAGGGUCACCCAGUCAGACUACAGAGCCAGGACCAUGAUCCAAAGCUGAGCAGUGCCCACCAAAGACAGUGUUCCCAGUGCUCAGGAGCCCUUGGGCCUUUAUAAGGUGUCUACCGUGGGACUAAAAAAACACCUGUCCCCAGGUGACAGCAUGCUGCCUUUGAAACACAGCUCUGUGAGAACACACCUGGCAAAGGCAGUCUUGGGGGCCACGCGGCAGGGACCCCUUUCCUUUACCAACUCUCACAGGCUGAGCCGCUCUUGCUGUGAAUGUACGUGGCCUUGGUAUGUUCUCCAGCAAGAUUAUAAGUGGAGGAUGGAGUCAGCUGGGAAGCGAGGCUCAGAUCAAGGAGGGCUACUACCAGGAUCCCUGCAGAAACAGGGACACAGGGAGAGAUGGCUGUAAAAUCCUUGAGCUUUAAGGGGUAAGCUCAUGGAGCCCUGAAAAAUAUGACUGCAUUGCAAAUGCCAACUUGUAGACACAAAUAUCGUGGAAGCAGGCCACGUUCAGCCUUGCACACUGUGCGCUCUUCCAUGACUGAGAACGUUAGUCACCUGCACCCUGACCAACCUCUCAUCCCUGAAGCCUGCUGGGAGGUGUCUGGGGACAGGAACGAAAAUUUACAAUGUUCUUUGGUUGUUUAAUUUUGAAUUUUCUCCCUCAUUAUUAUUGAAACUGAAACAUCUAAGAGGACACCCAGAUUUAUCUGAAACCGGAAGAUGACACGUAUGAAGGAUCAAGCAUUCAUCACAAACACAGGCAGGCGAAGGAGACCAAAACACAGCUAGGACCAUGCCAAGCGUCGGUGAUGAUGUGGAGAAAUGGGGACCUGCCAGACACUGCUGGUGGGGAGGUGACAUGGUGCAGCCACUAUGGAAAAUAGUCCAGCAGUUCCUCGAAAUGGAAAGCAGGAGUCCCAUGACCCAGCAGUUCCAUUUUCAAGGAAGUCCCCAAGAGAAAUAGAAACUUACGUCUUCACAAAAGCUUGAAAAUACACAUUCAUAGCAGCAUGAUUCAUAACAUCAAAAAGCAGAAACAGCCCAAAUGCCCAUCAGUGGAUGGAUGGAUAAGCACAAUGUGGCCCCUCCAUACGACACAAUAUUACUCAGCCAUAAGAACGAGUGAGGUAGCGGCACAGGCCACAAAGUGGGCGAACCUGGGAACCACGGGACUGAGUGGAAGGAGCCAGUCACAAAAGGUCAUGGGCUGUCUGAAUCCAUUCAUUUGAAUUUCCAGACUAGGCAAAUCCACAGAGACAGAAAGUGGGUUGGUGGUUGCAGUGGCUGGGGGCAGGGGGACAUGGGGAGAGUGCGGAGUGAGUACUAAUAGGUGUGUGGUUUCUUUUUUCAGUGAUAAAAAUGUACUAAAAUUUAUUGUGAUGGUUGCACAAGUCUGUGGCUGAAAACCACUGAAUUGUACGUUUUAAUGGGGUGCAUUGUUUGCGUGUGAAUCACAUCUCAAUAAAGCUGUUUUUAAAAUGCAAUUAUUGCACAAUGCAAA